rnacentral:rRNA from 1 species
UACGUAGGGUGCAAGCGUUGUCCGGAAUUAUUGGGCGUAAAGAGCUCGUAGGCGGUCUGUUGCGUCGGCUGUGAAAACCCGAGGCUCAACCUCGGGCCUGCAGCCGAUACGGGCAGACUAGAGUUCGGCAGGGGAGACUGGAAUUCCUGGUGUAGCGGUGAAAUGCGCAGAUAUCAGGAGGAACACCGGUGGCGAAGGCGGGGUCUCUGGGCCGGUAGCUGACGCU